UUGGACCUGAUAUCAAACAAGACUACCCGCUGAACUUAAGCAUAUCAAUAAGCGGAGGAAA
rnacentral:rRNA from 1 species